rnacentral:rRNA from 1 species
CCUACGGGAGGCUGCAGUAGGGAAUAUUGCUCAAUGGGGGAAACCCUGAAGCAGCAACGCCGCGUGGAGGAUGAAGGUUUUCGGAUUGUAAACUCCUUUUGUUAGAGAAGAUAAUGACGGUAUCUAACGAAUAAGCACCGGCGAACUCCGUGCCAGCAGCCGCGGUAAUACGGAGGGUGCAAGCGUUACUCGGAAUCACUGGGCGGAAAGAGCGCGUAGGCGGGAUAGCAAGUCAGAUGUUAAAUCCUAUGGCUUAACCAUAGAACUGCAUUUGAAACUGUUAUUCUAGAGUAUGGGAGAGGUAGGUGGAAUUCUUGGUGUAGGGGUAAAAUCCGUAGAGAUCAAGAGGAAUACUCAUUGCGAAGGCGACCUGCUAGAACAUAACUGACGCUGAUGCGCGAAAGCGUGGGGAGCAAACAGGAUUAGAUACCCGGGUAGUC